GUGUGUUUCCGAGUCAGGCCAAAGGAGAGGGGUUUAGGACCCCUUGCUUAGUGCUUCGUGGGUUCAAAUCCCAUCACACCUA
rnacentral:tRNA from 1 species